rnacentral:rRNA from 1 species
GUUAAGCGACUAAGCGUACACGGUGGAUGCCCUGGCAGUCAGAGGCGAUGAAGGACGUGCUAAUCUGCGAUAAGCGUCGGUGAGGUGAUAUGAACCGUUAUAACCGGCGAUUUCCGAAUGGGGAAACCCAGUGUGUUUCGACACACUAUCAUUAACUGAAUCCAUAGGUUAAUGAGGCGAACCGGGGGAACUGAAACAUCUAAGUACCCCGAGGAAAAGAAAUCAACCGAGAUUCCCCCAGUAGCGGCGAGCGAACGGGGAGGAGCCCAGAGCCUGAAUCAGUGUGUGUGUUAGUGGAAGCGUCUGGAAAGGCGCGCGAUACAGGGUGACAGCCCCGUACACAAAAAUGCACAUAUUGUGAGCUCGAUGAGUAGGGCGGGACACGUGGUAUCCUGUCUGAAUAUGGGGGGACCAUCCUCCAAGGCUAAAUACUCCUGACUGACCGAUAGUGAACCAGUACCGUGAGGGAAAGGCGAAAAGAACCCCGGCGAGGGGAGUGAAAAAGAACCUGAAACCGUGUACGUACAAGCAGUGGGAGCCUCUUAAUGGGGUGACUGCGUACCUUUUGUAUAAUGGGUCAGCGACUUAUAUUCUGUAGCAAGGUUAACCGAAUAGGGGAGCCGAAGGGAAACCGAGUCUUAACUGGGCGUUAAGUUGCAGGGUAUAGACCCGAAACCCGGUGAUCUAGCCAUGGGCAGGUUGAAGGUUGGGUAACACUAACUGGAGGACCGAACCGACUAAUGUUGAAAAAUUAGCGGAUGACUUGUGGCUGGGGGUGAAAGGCCAAUCAAACCGGGAGAUAGCUGGUUCUCCCCGAAAGCUAUUUAGGUAGCGCCUCGUGAAUUCAUCUCCGGGGGUAGAGCACUGUUUCGGCAAGGGGGUCAUCCCGACUUACCAACCCGAUGCAAACUGCGAAUACCGGAGAAUGUUAUCACGGGAGACACACGGCGGGUGCUAACGUCCGUCGUGAAGAGGGAAACAACCCAGACCGCCAGCUAAGGUCCCAAAGUCAUGGUUAAGUGGGAAACGAUGUGGGAAGGCCCAGACAGCCAGGAUGUUGGCUUAGAAGCAGCCAUCAUUUAAAGAAAGCGUAAUAGCUCACUGGUCGAGUCGGCCUGCGCGGAAGAUGUAACGGGGCUAAACCAUGCACCGAAGCUGCGGCAGCGACACUAUGUGUUGUUGGGUAGGGGAGCGUUCUGUAAGCCUGUGAAGGUGGCCUGUGAGGGUUGCUGGAGGUAUCAGAAGUGCGAAUGCUGACAUAAGUAACGAUAAAGCGGGUGAAAAGCCCGCUCGCCGGAAGACCAAGGGUUCCUGUCCAACGUUAAUCGGGGCAGGGUGAGUCGACCCCUAAGGCGAGGCCGAAAGGCGUAGUCGAUGGGAAACAGGUUAAUAUUCCUGUACUUGGUGUUACUGCGAAGGGGGGACGGAGAAGGCUAUGUUGGCCGGGCGACGGUUGUCCCGGUUUAAGCGUGUAGGCUGGUUUUCCAGGCAAAUCCGGAAAACCAAGGCUGAGGCGUGAUGACGAGGCACUACGGUGCUGAAGCGACAAAUGCCCUGCUUCCAGGAAAAGCCUCUAAGCAUCAGGUAACAUCAAAUCGUACCCCAAACCGACACAGGUGGUCAGGUAGAGAAUACCAAGGCGCUUGAGAGAACUCGGGUGAAGGAACUAGGCAAAAUGGUGCCGUAACUUCGGGAGAAGGCACGCUGAUAUGUAGGUGAAGCGACUUGCUCGUGGAGCUGAAAUCAGUCGAAGAUACCAGCUGGCUGCAACUGUUUAUUAAAAACACAGCACUGUGCAAACACGAAAGUGGACGUAUACGGUGUGACGCCUGCCCGGUGCCGGAAGGUUAAUUGAUGGGGUUAGCGGUAACGCGAAGCUCUUGAUCGAAGCCCCGGUAAACGGCGGCCGUAACUAUAACGGUCCUAAGGUAGCGAAAUUCCUUGUCGGGUAAGUUCCGACCUGCACGAAUGGCGUAAUGAUGGCCAGGCUGUCUCCACCCGAGACUCAGUGAAAUUGAACUCGCUGUGAAGAUGCAGUGUACCCGCGGCAAGACGGAAAGACCCCGUGAACCUUUACUAUAGCUUGACACUGAACAUUGAGCCUUGAUGUGUAGGAUAGGUGGGAGGCUUUGAAGUGUGGACGCCAGUCUGCAUGGAGCCGACCUUGAAAUACCACCCUUUAAUGUUUGAUGUUCUAACGUGGGCCCCUAAUCGGGGUUGCGGACAGUGUCUGGUGGGUAGUUUGACUGGGGCGGUCUCCUCCUAAAGAGUAACGGAGGAGCACGAAGGUUGGCUAAUCCUGGUCGGACAUCAGGAGGUUAGUGCAAUGGCAUAAGCCAGCUUGACUGCGAGCGUGACGGCGCGAGCAGGUGCGAAAGCAGGUCAUAGUGAUCCGGUGGUUCUGAAUGGAAGGGCCAUCGCUCAACGGAUAAAAGGUACUCCGGGGAUAACAGGCUGAUACCGCCCAAGAGUUCAUAUCGACGGCGGUGUUUGGCACCUCGAUGUCGGCUCAUCACAUCCUGGGGCUGAAGUAGGUCCCAAGGGUAUGGCUGUUCGCCAUUUAAAGUGGUACGCGAGCUGGGUUUAGAACGUCGUGAGACAGUUCGGUCCCUAUCUGCCGUGGGCGCUGGAGAACUGAGGGGGGCUGCUCCUAGUACGAGAGGACCGGAGUGGACGCAUCACUGGUGUUCGGGUUGUCAUGCCAAUGGCACUGCCCGGUAGCUAAAUGCGGAAGAGAUAAGUGCUGAAAGCAUCUAAGCACGAAACUUGCCCCGAGAUGAGUUCUCCCUGAGACUUAGAGUCUCCUGAAGGAACGUUGAAGACGACGACGUUGAUAGGCCGGGUGUGUAAGCGCAGCGAUGCGUUGAGCUAACCGGUACUAAUGAACCGUGAGGCUUAACCUUACAACGCCGAAG